CGCCAAUAGUGUUGGACAAGCUGUAAAUAUGAUUUUACCAACAAAAUACGAAUGACCGUAUAUAAAUCCAGGUGUUGAAUAUUAUGUAGUGUUAACACUUAUCUGAGGUCUGAGAGGAUUGCUUCUUGCUCAUUGAGAAGCCGAUAUUAUGUUUGUUUGGAGGCUUCUAAGCAUUGAUCAUUCGGUUUGUCCUGCAGCGAAUUUGCUGUGUAAUGACCUACGAGAAGACGACCACGGCACAUCGAGGGCUAUGGAGUAAACAUGAUUAAGGGCGUGCUGUGGACGACGGUCGAUGAGUUGGAAAAUUAACGAAUUAACUGCCGCCGAUUUUGGAAUGGAAAGUGAACAGUGAAAAUAAUUACUGUCAACGAGCGCAUUCCGUUGGUAUAAUGUGCAACACGCGACCAAAAAUCUAUUUUGCGUGCCGGCCGUCUGAUAGAGUGGAAACUGUAAUACUUUGGUUAAUGACGAUUUCCAAUAAUAAUCGUUUGCGAGCUUCUACCGGUCUACCAUUUAAUAACCACUCCUUUGUCAACCUGUACACUUAAACGGUCGUGGCUAUUUGUGGACACGUUAUUUUAAUUAGACGUAUAUUCCAAAAGACCACGACGGGCUGCUGUCUACGUAGAAACCGGCGAAAUAUCAUGUGCUGCCCUCUACACUUGAAGAUCAACGUGAAGUUGAAGUUUUGCCGAACGAAAUGCCAUCUCUUGAACCCCAAAAACGUCCCGGAUUGACACUAACAGUCACAAAAUUGUGGAAUACAGCUACAUUUGUUAAACUAAUAAUAAUGAUAAUGUAUGAGUGAUUAUUAUAUUAUAUAAAUUAGAAAACAUAGGUUUUUUAUAUUAUCAGAUAAGUAAAACAUUAAUAUA